CCUACGGGAGGCAGCAGUGGGGAAUAUUGGGCAAUGGGCGCAAGCCUGACCCAGCAACGCCGCGUGAAGGAAGAAGGCUUUCGGGUUGUAAACUUCUUUUGACAGGGAAGAGUAGAAGACGGUACCUCUCGAAUAAGCCACGGCUAACUACGUGCCAGCAGCAGCGGUAAUACGUAGGUGGCAAGCGUUGUCCGGAUUUACUGGGUGUAAAGGGCGUGGAGCCGGGCUGACAAGUCAGAUGUGAAAUCCGGCGGCUUAACCCCAGAACUGCAUUUGAAACUGUUGAUCUUGAGUGCUGGAGAGGCAGACGGAAUUCCUGGUGUAGCGGUGAAAUGCGUAGAUAUUAGGAAGAACACCAGUGGCGAAGGCGGUCUACUGGACAGCAACUGACGGUGAGGCGCGAAAGCGUGGGGAGCAAACAGGAUUAGAUACCCUAGUAGUC
rnacentral:rRNA from 1 species